AGAAGAAGAAGAAGAAGACCAGAAGAAGUCAACAGUCCCGCCUUUGCUGCUGCAUCCCAUCAACUCCUGAAGUUCAGACCAAGACGUCCCCUGUGAGGUCAAGAGGACAUGACGUGCCAUGAAGACUGGUGGCUGUGACUGAACCUCAGAAGACUCAACACACAGGAUCCUUCAGGAGUUGAUGUGGAGACCUGUGACACCGGCAGCCGGAACGCCGCUGACACCGAGGAUGACUCGGAUAACACGACGUGCAGAUAAAACACACACCGACGUGAACCCUCGCUCAUCAUACUUCCUUCCAUUCAACUAAACCAACUAAAAUCCUUUCCAUAAUGUUUCUCUUUGAUAAGCCUACGCUUACUGAUUACUCAAAGUAUCACCAGAUUAUAUGUUUUGUAUCUAAAAAUCCUAAUUUCAGGGUAUUUUGCGCAGUUUAUACAUUUACUCACAAAUAAAGCAAUACUGCAAUAUAAAAGUCGUGCAGUAUAAGUACGACUUAAAUAAAGUAUAUCAAUUAAAUGAUCAACGGUAAAAGGAAUUCACUAUCAUAAUGCAUCAUUAUUUAUAACAUGACAGUAAAAGUACCGAUGCCUUAGUAUCAAAAUGAGGUAGAUAUGGUACACUUCUAAUCUACAUGUUAAAUAGUUAUACCGGCUGCCAAAUAAAUGCAUUCAAUGUGUGUUUUCCUUGAACUG